rnacentral:tRNA from 1 species
UUUAUAAUAGUUUAACUAAAAACAUUUCAUUUUCAAUGAAAAAUUAUUUAUCUUAAUUUAUAAA